AUUGAACGCUGGCGGCAGGCCUAACACAUGCAAGUCGAGCGGAUGAAGGGAGCUUGCUCCUGGAUUCAGCGGCGGACGGGUGAGUAAUGCCUAGGAAUCUGCCUGGUAGUGGGGGAUAACGUCCGGAAACGGGCGCUAAUACCGCAUACGUCCUGAGGGAGAAAGUGGGGGAGCUUCGGACCUCACGCUAUCAGAUGAGCCUAGGUCGGAUUAGCUAGUUGGUGGGGUAAAGGCCUACCAAGGCGACGAUCCGUAACUGGUCUGAGAGGAUGGUCAGUCACACUGGAACUGGGACACGGUCCAGACUCCUACGGGAGGCAGCAGUGGGGAAUAUUGGACAGUGGGCGAAAGCCUGAUCCAGCCAUGCCGCGUGUGUGAAGAAGGUCUUCGGAUUGUAAAGCACUUUAAGUUGGGAGGAAGGGCAGUAAGUUAAUACCUUGCUGUUUUGACGUUACCAACAGAAUAAGCACCGGCUAACUUCGUG
rnacentral:rRNA from 1 species